UACGUAGGGUGCGAGCGUUUAAUCGGAAUUACUGGGCGUAAAGCGUGCGCAGGCGGUUUUGUAAGCCAGAUGUGAAAUCCCCGGGCUUAACCUGGGAAUGGCAUUUGUGACUGUAGAGCUGGAGUGCGGGCAGAGGGGGAUGGAAUUCCGCGUGUAGCAGUGAAAUGCGUAGAUAUGCGGAGGAACACCGAUGGCGAAGGCAAUCCCCUGGGCCUGCACUGACGCUCAUGCACGAAAGCGUGGGGAGCAAACAGG
rnacentral:rRNA from 1 species